CCACAAUCGUAAUCACAAGCUGACGCGGAAAUCGAAAUUGUGUGUGGCUUUUUCUUCAACCGGCAUGUAAAUUUACUUUACUAUAAAGCCUUGCCUAUUGCCUUGGGAUAUUCAUUGUAGCUGCUUUAACGGAUGUUUCUUCGCCAAGACGUCAAUAUGUUUUAGUCGCUGACAAAACUAUGUUAUAUCAGGGUUUCUAGAGUGGUGGUUACGUUUGAGACAGUUUGCUAAUCAGCUAAUAGUUAGCGAAAUUGAAUGGGAAAAUGCCAACCAGGACCUCGAUUAUUUCAUUUUAUGUAGUAAUUUUAGUUUUACAAGUGCAUUACAUGUACACUAAAGAUCUAAAAAGUUCUUGCUCAACAUGCAGACAGAUUACAGACAAUUUCAACAAGGGUUUUGAUAGAACGGUUAAGCAGAAUUUUGGUGGUGGAAAUACAGCAUGGGAGGAGAGGAAAUUGUCAAAAUAUGAGACCAGUGAGAUCCGUCUGGUGGAGAUUCUUGAAGGUCUGUGUGACAGCAGCAGCUUUGAAUGCAAUCAGAUGGUCGAAGAGCACGAAGACCAGUUUGAAGCUUGGUGGUUCAAGAGGAAAACCAAGCACCCUGACCUUUUCAAAUGGUUUUGCAUUGAGACCAUCAAAGUAUGCUGUCCUAGCGGAACAUUUGGCCCAGACUGCAAUGGCUGUGUUGGAGGAUCAGAGAAACCUUGUCAUGGUAAUGGCCAGUGUGAUGGUGAAGGGACAAGAGGAGGCAAUGGCAAGUGCAUUUGUAACCGUGGAUACAAAGGGGAACUCUGUCUAGACUGCACUGAUGGAUACUUCAAUGAGGAAAAAAAUGACACAUUCUCUCUUUGUACAGAGUGUCAUACCUCUUGUAAGACCUGCACAGGCCCCACCAAUAAGGACUGUGAUGACUGCAAAGAUGGAUGGGAGGAGGAUGAUGAUGAGGCGUGCAUUGAUGUUGAUGAGUGUACUGAGGAUUCCUCCUCGUGUAAAGAGGAUCAGUAUUGCUUAAACACUCCAGGCUCUUACUCCUGCAAAGCUUGUGACAAGGUGUGUUCUGGCUGUAAAGGGCCUGGUCCUGACCAGUGUCUAGCCUGCUCGGAAGGCUUCAUGGAGGAGGAAGGCAAAUGCACCGAUAUGAAUGAGUGUGAUCAGCCUGAAUCUGUAUGCGCUGAGGAGCACCAAGAGUGCCUCAAUACCAUUGGAAGCUACAAGUGCCAGUGUGCUGAAGGUUUCCAUGAAGAGGAUGGAGCCUGCAAUCCAGCUGCCACAUUAGCAUCACAACUUUUUUGGAAAAAGGGUUGUACAGAUUAAGGAAGAUACACACAAGAACAUGGAAUAACUUAAAACACAUUGUCCAAUUUGAGUGUCAUCAGGAUAACACGCCUGAGAGGAGAAUCAGCAAUCGUCUGAGGAUCAGCCUGCGGAGCAUGAGGACCUCUGAUUUUUAAUUUCUGGAUUGAACACAAGGGGGCGCUAAAGCACUGUGUUGGCCCCUCAUGAGCAGCAUGUCAUGUGCUGAAUGACGCUUUGGACAAUAUGGCCCUCACUGAACUAAACUGCCUCAAUUCAUGCCAAUUUUAUACCAGGAACUGGCCCAUGGAACAGUGGUCAAAUCUGUCUCAUUUUCUGAGUAAGUUGUAAGUUGUUUUUGCUGCCCUGUCUCUAGGAGGAAACAUUGUUUUUCAAGCCAAGCCAGCCUUUAUUUGUUUUAAUAAGAGGUCUUAUUGUGUUUGUAACCAAGCAGCUAGUAAUAUUUUCCUCCUUUGUCCCUCAUCAAAGGGCAGUGAAAACAGCAGCUCUGUUGGUUUUAGAAUGAACACCAGAUGGCAGCAUAGCCCAGAAAAAAGGAAAGUUGGAAGAAAUGGAAAUUUACUGAGAUUAAAUAAAGAAAACAUGAAAGAUGAA